GGAACCUGGAGGAAGCCAAGCUGGGCUUGCAGAAGGAAUUGGGAGAGGGUAAAUCCAAGCUGCAGGAGUUGGAAGAACAACAUCUUCAGUGUGAGCAUUGUAUUUGUGACUUGAAGACUGCUCUGGAGAAUAAGGAAAGGGAAGUAAGAGAUUCUUUCCAGAGACUGGAAGACCUCCUGUUGGCAUCCUCUGGGAGGAUUACUGCAAUGAAACACCUGGAGGAGCGUGUGCAGUGCCUUGAAGCUGAAAAUGCCAGACUGGAAGGCACAGUCCAGCAGCAAAGUAGGAGAAUUGAAGCCCUUCUGCAAGGCUCAUCCCUGGAGCAGGCAGCUUCCCAGGACAGACUGGAACAGAGCAGAGCCCAUGACCACGAUGCAGAGAGAAAGCUGCUGCUCUUCAGAAUUGGAGACCUUGAACAGGAAUUGGAAAAUGAAAGGACACC